rnacentral:rRNA from 1 species
GUGCAGCAGGCGCGAAUUUUUCACAAUGGGGGAAACCCUGAUGGAGCGACGCCGCGUGGAGGAUGAAGGCCCUCGGGUCGUAAACUCCUGUCAUGCGGGAACAAGAAAGUGAUAGUACCGCAAGAGGAAGAGACGGCUAACUCUGUGCCAGCAGCCGCGGUAAUACAGAGGUCUCAAGCGUUAUUCGGAUUCAUUGGGCGUAAAGGGUGCGUAGGUGGCGAUGUAAGUCUGGUGUGAAAUCUCGGGGGCUUAACCCCGAAACUGCAUUGGAUACUGCGUUGCUUGAGGAUUGUCGAGGAGAGUGGAAUUCACGGUGUAGCAGUGAAAUGCGUAGAUAUCGUGAGGAAGACCAGUUGCGAAGGCGACUCUCUGGGCAAUUCCUGACACUGAGGCACGAAGGCCAGGGGAGCAAACGGGAUUAGAUACCCGGGUAGU